rnacentral:rRNA from 1 species
UCAUUUUUAAUAAUAAAAUGUAUUCCCUGCCCUAUGUGUGAAAUAAAUGGCCGCAGUAUAGAUGACUGUGUUAAGGUAGCAUAAUUACUUGUCAAUUCAUUAUUGACUUGUCUGAAUGGGUUUAUUUAACUAAUAAUUUUUUUAUCAUUUUGAUUGAAAUUUUAAUUUUAGUAAAAAUACUGAAAUAAAAAAUAAGACGAGAAGACCCCAUCAAGGUUUACAAAUUUAUUGUUUUAAUGGGGAAUUAGAAAAGUUGGUCUUUAUUUUUUUGAAUACAAGUUAGAAAAAGGAAAAACUUACUGUGGGGAUAACAGGGUUAUUUUUUUUGGAGUUUUUAUCGAAGAAAUUGUUUGCUACCUCGAUGUUGAAUCAAAAUUUCUUUUUGGUGUAGAGACUAAAAUAGUGUGUCUGUUCGACAUUUAAAAUUUUACG